AUUGAACGCUGGCGGCACGCCUUACACAUGCGAGUCGAACGGCAGCAUGAUCUAGCUUGCUAGAUUGAUGGCGAGUGGCGAACGGGUGAGUAAUACAUCGGAACGUGCCCUGUAGUGGGGGAUAACUAGUCGAAAGAUUAGCUAAUACCGCAUACGACCUGAGGGUGAAAGUGGGGGACCGCAAGGCCUCAUGCUAUAGGAGCGGCCGAUGUCUGAUUAGCUAGUUGGUGAGGUAAAGGCUCACCAAGGCGACGAUCAGUAGCUGGUCUGAGAGGACGAUCAGCCACACUGGGACCGAGACACGGCCCAGACUCCUACGGGAGGCAGCAGUGGGGAAUUUUGGACAAUGGGGGCAACCCUGAUCCAGCAAUGCCGCGUGUGUGAAGAAGGCCUUCGGGUUGUAAAGCACUUUUGUCCGGAAAGAAAUCGCACUUACUAAUAUUAGGUGUGGAUGACGGUACCGGAAGAAUAAGGACCGGCUAACUACGUGCCAGCCGCCGCGGUAAAAC
rnacentral:rRNA from 1 species